rnacentral:lncRNA from 1 species
GAUCUUCAGUGAAAUCAAAUCAAGAUGCACACAUGCUUCCAAUUCAGUUCAUUUCACAAGUUACUCAACAGAUGUUACACAUUAUGAAUGAUCAAUCCACUAAGCAAAGAUGCAAUCAUGAAAUUUAGCAAUUCUCACCAAGCAAGAUUUUCACUCAAUCACUCAAGUGUUUUAAGGUGGCACUCCAACACUCUAUCAUUCACAAGUCACAUGAAACAAAAUUGCCCUUCAUCUCAAAGAAUCAAAAUCUUCACAUGCAAAUGCCAUUAAAAGGACUUUUCCAAGGCUAGUAAUGAGGUUGGGCUAACAAGAAGAAUUGGUUUUUCUAGAAUGCAAAAUCCUUGAGUUAAGAGAGCUACCAUAGUAUUCAACAUUUAAGCACAACUCUCUUCCUCACCAAUCUCACUUAUUCCCAACUUUUUCCCUUUUCUUUUGCAUUGAUCCCAUCUUCAUGCUUUUCUUCUUUUCUUUUCUUUUUCUCAUGUAUUUUUCUUUCACAUCAUUUGAGCUCAAUACUUUUCAAUUGCCUUUCAAUUUCCCCCAUGCAACCCCAAACUUGAACCUUUUCAUCGUAUACAAUUAAGCUCAUCCCAACUCAAGGUAAAGAAUUUCAAGACAAGGGUUCACAUCCUGUUU